AUUUUCUCAAGAUGCUUACAUUUCGUUAAAACCAAAUGUUCAAGCUUAGGAAAAGCAUCAUCAGAGAUGGACCAUUGUACAACUUUGAGGUUGUCCAGUUUUAAGUAUUUGAGUUCUAGGAACUCUGAAUCUUUCACUUCCCAGUGAUCCCCUUCAAAGGCUCUGAGCAAUAACUUAAGAAUCACCAAGUUGGGCAGUUCUGCAAUGAUCGAAAUUUGGGUCCAAGGUAGACGGAACUUUGAUAAAGUCAGUUCCCUUAGUUGCGAGGGGAAAUUGAACUUGUGAGGAAGUUUGGCUGGAUAGCUGUUCGAAACCAGCUUGAGGGACUCAAGGUGACUUAGAAAAUCUAAUCUGGG
rnacentral:misc_RNA from 1 species